GAAGGAUACACCUGUUCCCAUGCCGAACACAGAAGUUAAGCUUCUUAGCGCCGAUAGUAGUUGGGGGUUUCCCCUGUGAGGGUAGGACGUCGCC
rnacentral:rRNA from 1 species